ACAAUGGAGAGUUUGAUCCUGGCUCAGGAUGAACGCUAGCGGCAGGCCUAAUACAUGCAAGUCGAACGAUAUCUUCCA
rnacentral:rRNA from 1 species